rnacentral:lncRNA from 1 species
UGGCUUACAGCAUCAAGCCCCAUGGGAUGAGUGCUCCAUCCUGACUGCCAUGUCUACACUGUGUCUGCACAGUGUCUGUGAGGCCCCAUCUGUCAUGACCCGAUGCUGGCCAGCCUGGCCUGGGCAGAGCUCCGAGGAGCAUGUGAGUGCUUGAACACAUGCACAAUGCAACCCCCACCACGGAGUCUGCGCUUCUUGGAUGCUCACUCCACGAGGUGAGGGGCAUGGGGUAGUGGUCUCUGCUCUGUGUGAACUCAGUCUGGCCUGGUAGAUAACACAGACAUGCAAGGCAACUGUGGUAAGUGACAGAGAAGCUGCCAGUUGGCCCUGGAGUUGAGAGGAAGGGUAAUGUGCAGUGUCAGCGUGCUGUCCAAGGAGUUCUUGGCAUGGCUGGAGGCACUU